UCAGUAUAACGGAUAUGACCCUCGGCUUGUAACCGCGUGGCUUCGGGUUCGAAUCCCGAAUAAGGAA